GGGGCAAUAGUUUAACGGUAGAACAACGGCUUCCAACCCCGUUGGUGUGGGUUCAAUUCCUGCUUGCCCUG
rnacentral:tRNA from 1 species